GUCUUCGUGGUGUAGUCGGUUAUCACAUCUGUCUUAGAUGCUCAACCAUGACGUUUGUACACAGAAGGCCUCCAGUUUGAAUCUGGACGAAGAGA